rnacentral:rRNA from 1 species
UACGUAGGUGGCAAGCGUUGUCCGGAUUUAUUGGGUUUAAAGGGUGCGUAGGCGGCCCCAUAAGUCAGUGCUGAAAUAUCCCGGCUUAACCGGGAGGGUGGCAUUGAUACUGUGGGGCCUGAGUAAAGUUGAGGUUGGCGGAAUUGACGGUGUAGCGGUGAAAUGCUUAGAUAUCGUCAAGAACACCGAUAGUGUAGACAGCUAACUAAGCUUUAACUGACGCUGAGGCACGAAAGUGUGGGGAUCAAACAGG